UCUCUCUCUCUCUCUCUCUCUCUCUCUCUCUCUCUCUCUCUCUCUUCCAUCCUCCAGCACAAACCGAAGACUGCAGUUGUUGUACUGCUUGUCCAUCCUGCACGAUCAGAGCACCAGGUCCGGCCAUAUCUGGUCCUUUUACUCACUGCAAACAGAUUGAGUGGCAUCUUCAUAUUAUCUUCGAUUCAGAUAAGAACUCUCAACAACUAUCAAAUUCCAGCCUUGCAA